UACGGGGGGGGCAAGCGUUGUUCGGAAUUACUGGGCGUAAAGGGCCAGUAGGCGGCCAACUAAGUCGGAUGUGAAAUCCCCAGGCUCAACCUGGGAACUGCAUCCGAUACUGGAUGGCUUGAAUUCGGGAGAGGGAUGCAGAAUUCCAGGUGUAGCGGUGAAAUGCGUAGAGAUCCGGAGGAACACCAGUGGCGAAGGCGACACGCUGGGUCAUACCUGACGCUAAAACGCGACAGCAUGGGGAGCGAACGGG
rnacentral:rRNA from 1 species